rnacentral:lncRNA from 1 species
GGACAAACUGCGGCCACGCCUGCCUCCCCAGCUCCCCAGCUGAACCUGUGGCUGGGUGCUGCUGGGUUUGAAAGGAUCACCAUGAGCUGGAGGCCAGCCCAGACUGCAUGGGGCACUUCCUGAGCGCUGGGAUCGAGGGCAUGUGCCACCACGCCCAGCUGCCAAUGUCUGUUCGGCCUUAAAAGGAGAUGCUCAUAUUUGAAAUUGCUGAUUUGGACAGUCUGAGAACCACAAUUCCUGAGGUCAACUAGGAGGAUGGGUGUUUUAAAAACUACACUCGUUGCUUUGCUCCCACUGAAGGUCAGGUCUUGACUUCAGAAACAUUCAUGAGGGAGGCAGGGCACAGCGGUGAAUGUGUCUCAUCCCAGCACUCUAGGAGGUUGAAGCAGGAGGACUGCAAGCUGGAGCUCAGCCUGGGAAAUUCAGCAAGACCCUGUUCAAAAUAUAAAGAGACAGGGUCUUGGUAAGUUCCCCAAGAAGGACUUGAACUCGUGAUCCUCCUGCCUCAGCCUCCCAGUGUGCUGGGAUUACAGACAUGCGUCACUGUGCCCACCUGAAAUCAGGCUUCUGGUGAGUAUGAGGUCUGUUUGUCCUUUGUCCCUAGAUGGUCACGGUGUGUGGGUCCCUCAUGAAGCAAUGAGGGAGACUGCAACAGUGUACAAUGCAGUCGUCGAAGGGUGACUUCUCAGUAGAGGAGGCUGAAGCCAGACACUGCUCUAAACCUGGUGAGGGGCUGGUGGCUGGCCCAUGGGGAUGAGGUAGGGGAACCAGGUCAGACAGCCCUUAUGGUGGGCAGGGAGACAAGUUAACAAGGUGUGAAUACUGACCAUGUCCUGGCCACCGUGGAGUCCGGAAAUGAG